GAGGACCCUUGAAGAAGGAUUGUGAGAAGUUGCAAGCUAAAGAUGAUUUAGCUGCAAAUCAUAGGGGGCAAUCAUGGAAUUCAGACGAGACUAAUGUGACCGGAUGGCAGAGAUGUGAUGUUGAUUGUGAUUUCUGACGUGAAAUCUAAGUCUGACGAGGAAUGGAUUCUUGAUUCGGUAUGUUCGCACCAUAUGUGUUCCAAUAGGAAUUUAUGUCAGACAUAUGAGGCUGUUUAACAAGGUGGAGUUGUAAUGGGGAACAACGAGUCUUGCCGUAUUGUUGGAAUCGAUCAAGUCAGAUUACAGUUAUGGGAUGGGACGGUCAGAACACUUGGCCAAGUUCAACAUGUUCCAGAUCUAAAGAGGAAUCUCAUCUCACUGAGUAUCCUGAAUGCAAAAGGGUAUAAAUUCUCUGGUGGAGGUGGAGUCUUGAAGGUCCGAAAAGCUGUCCGGGUUGUACUAGAGGGACGGAAGAGAUCCCAGUUGUACAUAUUGCAGGAAAGCACAGAAUCAAUUUUGAGACAUCGGGACAAGUUCGGUACCGUGGUGGAUAUACAGUUUGGUAUAGUACCUCUUGUGACGGGCUCUGGGUCGGUUCAGAACACUGCUAGGGAGAGCGUUGGUGAUUCCGCUUUGCCACCAAUUUCAGCGGAUGCACUGUGUUCAAAUGUCAAGGGUGGACUCAUGGAGCGUAGGUACAAUGGUGUUAUUGAUUUCUGUGAUGCUUUUGGAAUCGUUGAAGGUAACAGUUCUGACAAGGGGCCUUCUGAUUAAACACUUGGUUUGGUGUCUGCUACAGGGUAUGUUUCAACCCUAUUUAAUCAACAGUAAUUCCUUGAUGGAAUUUUGGGAACCCGGGAUUUGGGUUCAGGUGUCGCUUGUGGAUGCCUUGCAGAGGAAGAUGGUUUUGGUGAUGGAGAGUUUCGG
rnacentral:lncRNA from 1 species